rnacentral:rRNA from 1 species
UACGAAGGGGGCUAGCGUUGUUCGGAAUUACUGGGCGUAAAGCGCGCGCAGGCGGCUAUCCAAGUCAGUGGUGAAAGCCCGGAGCUCAACUCCGGAACUGCCAUUGAAACUGUUUAGCUUGAGGACGAGAGAGGUGAGUGGAAUUCCCAGUGUAGAGGCGAAAUUCGUAGAUAUUGGGAAGAACACCGGUGGCGAAGGCGGCUCACUGGCUCGUAUCUGACGCUCAGGCGCGACAGCGUGGGGAUCAAACAGG